rnacentral:rRNA from 1 species
AGGACGAACGCUGGCGGCGUGCUUAACACAUGCAAGUCGAACGGAAAGGCCCUUCGGGGUACUCGAGUGGCGAACGGGUGAGUAACACGUGAGCAAUCUGCCCCUAGCUCUGGGAUAGCUCCGGGAAAACCGGGAUUAAUACCAGAUACGACCACUUUAGACAUCUGUCGUGGUGGAAAGGAUUCCGGCUAGGGAUGGGCUCGCGGCCUAUCAGCUUGUUGGUGGGGUAACGGCCUACCAAGGCGACGACGGGUA